CUGCAGCGAUGCCCUUCUUAGGACACCUUUGGAUUUACCAUGAAAAUUAAAACAAGAAAAAAAAUGAGAAAA